CAGCAGCCGCGGUAAUACGUAGGUGGCAAGCGUUGUCCGGAAUUAUUGGGCGUAAAGCGCGCGCAGGCGGUCCUUUAAGUCUGAUGUGAAAUCUUGCGGCUCAACCGCAAGCGGCCAUUGGAAACUGGGGGACUUGAGUGCAGGAGAGGGAAGUGGAAUUCCACGUGUAGCGGUGAAAUGCGUAGAGAUGUGGAGGAACACCAGUGGCGAAGGCGGCUUCCUGGCCUGUAUCUGACGCUGAGGCGCGAAAGCGUGGGGAGCAAACAGGAUUAGAUACCCUGGUAGUCCACGCCGUAAACGAUGAGUGCUAAGUGUUAGGGGGUUUCCGCCCCUUAGUGCUGCAGCUAACGCAUUAAGCACUCCGCCUGGGGAGUACGGCCGCAAGGCUGAAACUUAAAGGAAUUGGCGGG
rnacentral:rRNA from 1 species